rnacentral:misc_RNA from 1 species
UGCUUCUUCUCACAAGGCAUCGGAUUUUUGUAUGGAAAGAUUGAUCUGCUGUCUGCAAUGCCUCCAUUCUUAGGUGGUGGAGAGAUGAUCUCAGAUGUAUUUCUUGACCAUUCCACAUUUGCACAACCUCCUUCCAGAUUUGAGGCUGGGACACCAGCAAUUGGAGAAGCAAUUGGAUUGGGAGCUGCUAUUGAUUAUUUGUCCG